CGCGAGUGGGCGCCGACGGGGACCCGGCUGCGCCGCGCUCCUCGGGGACCCGGCGGGCGGCUGGAGCCCUGCGCUCGCCUCCUGGAAGCCGCGGGUCGGCGCUCGCCCCCGAGGGCGCCGGGACCUCCGCGCUCGAACAGAAACUGCCCUUCCAUUGAUUCGGCCCGGUCGGGCGAGCGGCCGGUGCGUGUGUCCCGAGCGCGUGCGGAAGGCACAGGGCAGGAAGUCGGUCUUCUGCGGCGCGGGUGGCGGCACCGAGCGGGGACGAGCCUUCCUUACUUAUGUGUCUGCAGGCCUUCGCCGCCUUCGCCCGAAGACUUCAGAGAGCGUCCCGGAGCCGCGUUCCCCGCGUGUGAGGCACGGAGGGGCUGGAUGUCUAACAACAUGAUUAUCCAUUAACCUCCGAACUUUUCUUUUUUUAACCCAAAGAAUAUCGGUGAUUUUUGUCCACUGCUAGCAGAGGAAGAGACAACCCAGGGCUCUUGAAAUGCAGCAAAAUCCUUAUUUAUCAACAGGCCCGAGGUCGUGAUAUGCAAACCCCCUCUACUCAGUGAAUUUUCUAUCCUAUGGAUAUCAGCCUUGAGCUUUGAGAUUGCAGAGCGGUCCUGUCUGCACUGGGUCCUGCAGCCUCCAUCCUUUCAAUGCCCAGUUUUCUCUGGGACUGCUGGCCUUCCCUGGAGAUCAGAGCGGUCCUGUGUGCCAUGGGCUGUAUUCAGAGCAUCGGGGGCAAAGCCAGAGUCUUCCGGGAAGGUAUCACGGUGAUUGAUGUGAAAGCCUCCAUUGACCCCAUCCCCACCAGCAUUGACGAGUCCUCCAGCGUGGUGCUCCGCUACCGGACACCCCACUUCCGCGCCUCGGCUCAGGUGGUCAUGCCGCCCAUCCCCAAGAGGGAGACCUGGAUAGUCGGCUGGAUUCAGGCGUGCAGCCACAUGGAGUUCUACAACCAGUACGGCGAGCAGGGCAUGUCCAGCUGGGAGCUCCCGGACCUUCUGGAGGGCAAGAUCGAGGCCAUCAGUGACUCGGACGGGGUGAACUACCCCUGGUACGGCAACACCACGGAGACGUGCACCAUCGUGGGCCCCACCAAGAGAGACUCCAAGUUCAUCAUCAGCAUGAACGACAACUUUUACCCCAGCGUCACGUGGGCCGUGCCGGUCAGCGAGAGCAACGUGGCCAGACUGACCAACAUCUACCGGGACCAGAGCUUCACCACGUGGCUGGUGGCCACCAACACCUCGACCAAUGACAUGAUCAUCCUGCAGACGCUGCACUGGCGCAUGCAGCUCAGCAUCGAGGUGAACCCCAACCGGCCCCUGGGCCAGCGCGCCCGGCUGCGCGAGCCCAUCGCCCAGGACCAGCCCAAAAUCCUGAGCAAGAACGAGCCCAUCCCGCCCAGCGCCCUGGUCAAGCCCAACGCCAACGACGCUCAGGUCCUCAUGUGGCGGCCCAAGCACGGGCAGCCGCUGGUGGUCAUCCCGCCGAAGCACCGGUAACAGCCGGGCCGCCCCGCUAGGUUAGACUCAAAUAAUAAUUCUGCUCACACAAAACCCUCACGGACUCGGUCAUUCAGCAAAAUACAACCAUUCUACCUUCUCCGGCGGGCGGAUCUCACUGUGCGAACCCCUCGGAUGGCCUCCCCGCCCCUCGGAACCUGCUGCUUUGUGGGGAGGGGGAGACCCAGCCGGGACAGACCGACCCCGCGUGCGUCCUUCACUGUCACCUUGGGUCUCCUGUUCUCUCCUUUUCUCACAAUUUCAGCCAUUCUCUUGCAACAGACUCCCUGAAACAACUGCUUUUUCAGUUCUUUUUUUUUUUCAACGCCUCCCCAGGAGGUUCAGGGGCGGGAGGAGGAGGAGCUGAUUACAGGCUGGUCCGCGCCGUUGCUGGCUUGUGACAGUGGCCGGCCCUCCCGUGGCAGCUCCCCCUUGCCCUCUGUCGUGCGGCCUUAUGUAGACUUGCUUUGCCAAACUUUUGCCUUAAGCUGAAUUUAAAGGGAAAAUACCACAGCAGACAAAGAAAGCAAGAUCUCUUUUCUACUGGACUUUUCAUCUUCUGCUAGAGAAACGAAACCAUGGACUCUGCCUAGAGAGCCCCUUCUCUUGGCCCCAGGCAGAAUCCUCCCCCCCAGCCCGACCCUGUACCUGGAGAGAAGGGCUGUGAGCUCUGCCCGGCUGCUCCUCUCCUCUCGGCAGCCUUAACUUGCCUUGGGUGGGCCCAGGAGGAGAGACGGAGGGUGCUGUGAGUUGUAGGUUGAGCCCAGGGAAAUUUCUCCGUCUCAGUCCUCAGCACCCGUCGAUGCACAGGUGGGUCUGCCGUCACAUCUCUGUGAAAAGGCUUUUCCUUUUCCGUCCACACUGGGCCCAAACGUCGGGAGGGCUGGCCACUUUGACCCAGUUUUAGUUCAAAGGUAAGAAAGGCAUACACUUCCCUCCUGGCUCCUUCUCAGGGACACCCCUUCCAGGUGCUCUGGGGAGGCUGCAGAUGGGCUCUGAGCACCACAGGGCUGGAGGUGGGGGGGCAAGGGAGGGGGCCCCCCAAGGACAGGCGUUCUUGGAUCUGGGAAGGGAGGUGAGGCAGUCAGCAGACCUCCCCCUGCUUCUUAUCCUCAAGGAAGUAAGCCAGGGCCCAGGGCUGGGGGAUUAAGUGGGCCCGUGGAUGACAGGCAUCGGAGCCACUCUGGAGGCUGGCCUGGACAGCACGGCUGGUCCUUGAGGGCCACCCUCCCUCGUGUCCUGGGCCCUCUGGAGCGCUAGACUUGGUCCUGAGUGACGCCAAGCUUUCUUAGCACUGUCUGUCCUGAAGUCUGCUCACAGGAGCUUUGGGGACCACCCCCUGAAGCCCCCUUCCUCCAAGCUUGCCAAAGCCACAGCUCCAUCACCCAGCCCCGCAUUCAAAGUAACAAUAAUCAAGCACAGAAAACUGUCAGGAAAGAAAAAUAAUCCAUUUCUGCUGCAGAUGAGCCACUGAUCGGAGUCCCAGUGACGACGUGGGAGGGCACGGGUCCCCUAAUCCUUGCUCUGGUCCUUUAUCCACGUGAUACCGUAUUUAUUCAGGGGUGCUUAACGUCCAGUGCAGCUCCUGAGCCCGGCUCCUGACGGGAGGCGAGCAGCCGUCCUGGAACAACUGGACUGGAAGCAGCUUUGUGUCGCCGGCCGCCGGCGUGGUGCUUGGGGAACCCCGCUGCCAGGCCCAGGAAGCCCCUGGGAACUGCCGGUUCCCUGUGGUGUGUGCAGAGGCCCUGCCGCCCAGGGAGGCCGGAGCCUCAAGUGAGGGGAACGGUGGGUCCCUGCUCCACCUCUGGGGGCUGGUGGGAGGGAACGGGGCGGCAGCAUCCGGCUGCUGUGGCCGGGACCUGGCCUCCUAUGGAGCGGCCCUUCUCUACACUCAGGUCUUUCUUGCACUAAAAGGAGAAAGGGCUCUGGACGAGGUGUCAGGAAGCAGGAGUUCCGGUUUCCGGCUGGGUCAUCGCUAAAGGGUUCUUACUGGGGUAGGGGUUGGGAACGGGAAAGAACAGGAAGGGGUGAUCCUGAGCUGUUUUGGGGCAGAGUCCCCCAAACCCACACUUCCUGAGUGUGAGCAAGCCCUCUGGCAGGGGUGCAGUGCUGUGCCACCUGGAGGGGAGCAAUGCUGCUCUGGCUGCCUCUGCCUGGCCUACUGCAUGCCUGGGCCCCCAGCUCCCCGUGCUCCCCAGCUCCCCCCACCCCGUGCCCCUUUCUCUCUGCCCCUUCCAGCCUUUCUGAAGACAGAGCUGGGAAGACCCUGCAGAGGCUGCAGGCCCGGCCAAGGAUGCUUGGCUUAGCUUGAGUCUGGUCCCUUGGCCUCCUCCCUCCUGUCAGGAGCACAGACCCCAGGCAUGUCACCUGGGACCCCGAUCCCUCCGGCGUCCCCCUCACCCGGCGUGACACACUCCUCCAGCAAUAAGGACCUUCGUGGUCGUGGAGAGUACUGUGAAAACAAACCAAUGCACUUACCAGGAGGCACAAGACUCAAAGAAAAUGUAAAAUGAACCUUUUUUUUAAAAAAAAAACAAACGAAUAUUCACAAAGAGAAAUAAAAUGUAAUUUUAAAGUAGGCCUGGCUAGGA